GCGGGCGUGGUGGAAUUGGUAGACACGCAGGAUUCAAAAUCCUGUUUCUUCGGAAGUGAGAGUUCGAUUCUCUCCGCCCGCACCA
rnacentral:tRNA from 1 species